rnacentral:lncRNA from 1 species
UUUUUUUUUUUUUUUUUUUUUUUUUUUUUGGUGACGACACAGUCUCGCUCUGUCACCAGGCUGGAGUGAAGUGGCGUGAUCUCAGCUCACUGCAACCUCCACCUCCCAGAUUCAAGCAAUUCUCCUGCCUCAGUCUUCCGCGUAACUGAGAUUACAGCCACGCGCCAUCACACCUGGCUAAUUUUUUGUAUUUUUAGUAGAGACGGGGUUUCACCAUGUUGGACAGGCUGGUCUUGAACUCCUGAGCUCAGGGAGUCCUCCCGCCUCAGCCUCCCAACGUGCUGGGAUUACAGGCAUGAGCCAUUGCGUCCAGCUAUGUGAACCUUUGAUCAUAUUUCUGUUGUUUUUUUCCUCACAGAUCUUUACAAGAUUUGGAUACUAAUCUUAAUUUCAAAUCCCCUCUUUCAGUCUAUAGUUUUUAAACUUUGUUUCAGGUGUUUCUUUGCAUAGUUUUAAAUUUUAUUUAUCCCCAUUUGUUGGCUUUUAUAUGUGUAUUUUGAGAACCGCUAAAAAAUACUUCCCUAUCCACAGACAUAUGGUAUAUAUUUGUUUUCUAGUAGGCUUAAAGUUCGUUUUCAUGUGCUGGAGUUCAUUUUGUGACUGAUAUUAGGUAGAAUGGCAGGAUUAUCUUUUCCUCUGGUCGUUUUUGAUGAGCUUUUUGCUACAAAAUGUCAGAUCCCUGGAUUCGUAUGCAAGACAAUCAAAUGUCCCUACUUGCCAUUUCACUGUAGCAAGGUUAAACCAUACGACACCAGCAGGGCUGCUUUAGCUGACUGAUUUGUGCAACAGAGAACAGUAGGAGCCAAUUGUAACAGGCAUCUCAGCUGGCUGCCCAGGAAGGAAGGAAGGAGGGGAGUUGUACUAGGGGAAGAGCAUCUGUUACACAGACCUCCCAGCAUCCCUGCUAUGAAAGCUAAAUACCACGAGAGCUGGAACAGCAUCUUAGGACAGUAGAAGGAAAUACAAAGCAGAAGGAAGCUUAGUUUUGUCCAGCCAAGGAGAAGGUUUAGACAGUAUAAUAUAUGCUCAAACCUUCCAAUGAAGCAGUUACAAAAGGAAAAUAUUGGGAAUUGGACAUAAAGAUUUAUCGAUUGUCAAAUUUGUUGACCAUGGGGUCCUGAAGAUGCUUUCUUACAGACACAAAACAAAACAUGUCUUGAAACCUUUACUUUCUGAGAGUAGAAUGAAGAUGGCAGUUGUAAAAAUCUACCAACAGAACAAAGCAAAAAACUAGGUGCUCAUGUAUGACAUUGUCUGAAUUUCACCUAGUCAGCAUUAGAUUUUAAGGUAUGGUUAAACUUCCCCAGAAGGUGGAAUCACUGUACCUCACUUUUUGUUACUUUUUUGUUUUUUUGAGACAGGGUCUCACUCUGUCACCCAAGCUAGAGCACAGUGGUACCAUCUCUGCCCACUCAGGCUUUCUCAUCUGACCACACAACACAGAAAGUGAUUUGAGUAGCUAUUCUCAAAAUUCUUCCAAGGAUGGAUGGUACCUAUCCAGUACGUUAGAUCCGUAGAAAAAAAGUCAAUUCAUUACACAUAACAAUGUCUUAGGAUCAUCACAUACAUGUUUAAGCAAAAACAUUUCAUGGCACAUUCUUCACUAAGGCAAUAAGGAAGGCAGUAGAUGUAAUACAGUAGUUAGCUGGGAUUCUGAGAGUUGGCAGGCUAACUUACUUCAGAUCCUAGCUCUGGCACUUAGAGACAGUAGUGUCUAUCAAGGAUGUAAUGAGUAUGUCAGGGCUAAUAAAGUGCCUGAUACAUAACUACUGCCUUAUAUGUCAAUUAUCCACAAGACUGUAAGCCCCACAAGGGUAGAGGUCUUUGGUUUACUGGUGUAUUCCAUGCCUAGAACAAUUGGCAGGAAGAUAGCUGGCACACAGAAAAUAUUUGUUGGAUGAAGAGGGAUUUUGUUCAGAGCCUAGACUGAGAAAAACAAUUACAUGGUUAGGAGCAGGGCCAUUGUACAAUUUGUCUAACACUGGUCACUUGAAAAUAAAGGACCUUGAUC